GGUCCAAAGGGGGAGAAAUCUAGCCCACAUCCUGCAGCAGUACCUGAAGGACGUGCUCACCGUGCAUGACCCUGAGACCUGUACGGGGCAGGGCUUCCGACGACUGCUCACUGAGGCUGUCCGGCUGUCAGCGUGCCUUGAGGACCUGCUUGGAGCAGAAAAUAUUGAAGAGGAGGAAACACCAGCACAAGGACCUGUUGCUGACAGGGAGCUCUUGGAAGUGGAUGAAAUGGAAACCCCACAAAU